ACGGCUCACCAAGGCGACGAUGCGUAGCCGACCUGAGAGGGUGGCCGGCCACACUGGGACUGAGACACGGCCCAGACUCCUACGGGAGGCAGCAGUAGGGAAUCUUCCGCAAUGGACGGAAGUCUGACGGAGCAACGCCGCGUGAGCGAAGAAGGUCUUCGGAUCGUAAAGCUCUGUUGUGAGGGAAGAACAAGGAUGGGAGUAACUGUCUAUUCUUUGACGGUACCUCACCAGAAAGCCACGGCUAACUACGUGCCAGCAGCCGCGGUAAUACGUAGGUGGCAAGCGUUGUCCGGAAUUAUUGGGCGUAAAGGGCGCGCAGGCGGUUCCUUAAGUCUGAUGUGAAACCUUGCGGCUUAACCGCAAGCGGUCAUUGGAAACUGGGGGACUUGAGUGCAGAAGAGGAGAGUGGAAUUCCACGUGUAGCGGUGAAAUGCGUAGAGAUGUGGAGGAACACCAGUGGCGAAGGCGGCUCUCUGGUCUGCAACUGACGCUGAGGCGCGAAAGCGUGGGUAGCGAACAGGAUUAGAUACCCUGGUAGUCCACGCCGUAAACGAUGAGUGCUAGGUGUUGGGGGGCACGCCCCUCAGUGCUGAAGUUAACACAUAAGCACUCCGC
rnacentral:rRNA from 1 species